CCCACUUGGCUUUCCGGUGCCGACCGAAAGCUCUUGCAAAAAAUCGGUGCACCGUUAAAUGCUGACAUUGUGGUGGCUCAAGAUGGUUCUGGCAACUUCAAGACUAUAUCAGAGGCGGUGGCGGCGGCUGGCGGUGCCAAAAGAACUGUCAUACAUGUAAAAGCUGGAGUUUACAAUGAGAAUGUUGAUAUUCAAAGAUCAGCUAGAAAUAUCAUGUUAAUUGGAGAUGGAAUUGGUGCCACGGUUGUUACUGGUAAUAAGAAUGCUCAAACUACGACAACUUUUCGCACAGCAACAUUUGGUAAGCAACAUGUAUAAAUUAUUUCAAAGUCACAUUCUAAACUUAGACAAAAACAUAAAGUUAUCCUAAAUUAAGAGGAGAAAAUGAGGAAAAAGAAACAUGAUUUGAAUAACAAAUUAAAACACACUCAUGCAAAUUAUCUACACUCAAUUUGUUCUUUUAUUCUUUUUUGAAUAGUAAAAACACGACUAUCUUUUUUUCUAAUUAGUUGGAUAUUUUUAUGUCUCCCAUUUCACCAACACCACAGUUCUUUACACAACUAAAAGGAGAAAAUAUAACAGUAAAAACGUGAGAAAAAAAUUAGUGCUUUUUCUUUUUCCUUGUUUUCAACCUAUCAUUUGAUUACUCACAUCGUUCGUUCGUUUCUUCUUUCAGCCGUCGUUGGUGAUGGCUUCAUAGCUCGUGACAUCACUUUUGAGAACACCGCCGGACCCCAAAAGCACCAAGCGGUGGCCCUCCGCUCCGGCUCUGAUUUCUCAGUCUUCUACCGUUGCAGCUUCGAAGGUUACCAAGAUACCUUAUACGUCUAUUCCCAACGCCAAUUCUAUCGCGACUGUGACAUUUAUGGAACCGUAGACUUCAUAUUCGGUGAUGCCGUCGCCGUUUUCCAAAACUGUAACAUUUACAUCCGACGACCGAUGAACAGCCAAAUAAACACCAUCACAGCACAAGCGAGAACCGACCCAAAUGAGAAUACGGGGAUAAUAGUCCAC
rnacentral:lncRNA from 1 species